ensembl:lncRNA novel transcript
AAUUAUAGAAUGUGUAUCUGCCAUGGUCAAUGUCAUUUCAGAAGUUUGUAAGGGCUAUUCCUUGAAGCUUACACCUGCCCCCCUCAAUGUGACUAACAAGUCUUUUCAGUUAGUAACAUACUUGCUGAGGGUUUGACAACAAAGACUUAAUGAAGAUUGUGAUAAAUUCACACAGACACCCAAGUAAAUGUAAGCAUCCACAGAAAUGAGGAAGAACUCAAUGCUAUUAAUUCAACAAUAAAAGGAAUUCCUCAGGAAAACCGAGGGCCUGCAGGCUGCCUGCGUCUUGAGUAAGGAAGGAACAAUCCAGAGAUCUGCCAAUGCCUCACAAGUGUGCAAAUCAGCAAAUAUUCUGAGACUAUACACUGUAUUGAAAAAGAGGAUCGUCAGCUUAAUACCAUUAGAGUACUGUGCUUUUGUUCUGUACAGCACCAAAAUGCAGUUUUCAUUCAGGAUUAAUUUAUUUUUUCAAACUAUAUAUGUACUUUUCUGUUUAAUUGUAAUCCUAGGAGAGCAGCUAUAUUAUCUGCAUUGUUGUUAUAUUCCCAAAACCCAGAAAACAGAUGUUCAAUAAAUGAUUUUCAAAUGA